rnacentral:sRNA from 1 species
GUCUUUGCUGCACUAUAUUCCAGUCCUGAAGAUUUUCCUCAGAGAAUUUUUCAUCUCUUUGUUCCUGAGACUAUAUAUUAGAGG